ACGGGUGAGUAACACGUGGGCAAUCUGCCCUUCAGUCUGGGACAAGCCCUGGAAACGGGGUCUAAUACCGGAUAUCACUUCCACUCGCAUGGGUGGGGGUCGAAAGCUCCGGCGGUGAAGGAUGAGCCCGCGGCCUAUCAGCUUGUUGGUGAGGUAAUGGCUCACCAAGGCGACGACGGGUAGCCGGCCUGAGAGGGCGACCGGCCACACUGGGACUGAGACACGGCCCAAACUCCUACGGGAGGCAACAGUGGGGAAUAUUGCACAAUGGGCGAAAGCCUGAUGCAGCGACGCCGCGUGAGGGAUGACGGCCUUCGGGUUGUAAACCUCUUUCAGCAGGGAAGAAGCGAAAGUGACGGUACCUGCAGAAGAAGCGCCGGCUAACUACGUGCCAGCAGCCGCGGUAAUACGUAGGGCGCAAGCGUUGUCCGGAAUUAUUGGGCGUAAAGAGCUCGUAGGCGGUCUGUCGCGUCGGAUGUGAAAGCCCGGGGCUUAACCCCGGGUCUGCAUUCGAUACGGGCAGACUAGAGUGUGGUAGGGGAGAUCGGAAUUCCUGGUGUAGCGGUGAAAUGCGCAGA
rnacentral:rRNA from 1 species